AGUACUCUCAGGUUGGAUCUAGCCAUCUCAAUAGAAGUCAGUAUGUGGAAGCCUGUCAGUUAGACUGUACCUGUUUUAGGUGUUAAACUUAAUCUGUCAUCUGGGUUAAUACCAUCAUUUGGUCUUCGAAUGUGUUUAGUGCAGAUACUUUUGCAAGCAUUUAUUCCCUCCCUUGCAGUCACCAGUGUCACAUGUCUGUUUCUCUAUGCUGAGAUAUAAUAAAAUUAUUUCACUACCAUCAGUAUAUAACAAACAAUAACCAAGUCA